UACAGAGGUGGCAAGCGUUGUUCGGAAUUACUGGGCGUAAAGGGCGCGUAGGCGGCCUUCUAAGUCAGACGUGAAAUCCCCCGGCUUAACCUGGGAACUGCAUUUGUGACUGCAUGGCUGGAGUGCGGCAGAGGGGGAUGGAAUUCCGCGUGUAGCAGUGAAAUGCGUAGAUAUGCGGAGGAACACCGAUGGCGAAGGCAAUCCCCGUGGGCCUGCACUGACGCUCAUGCACGAAAGCGUGGGGAGCAAACAGG
rnacentral:rRNA from 1 species